AAUCGUUCAAACUCCAGCUCGGGACUCUAACUCCUCUAUAAUCCAAAUAAUUAUUUUCAACACUUUAAAAAUUAUAAAAAUAUUUUUGAAGGUCAUCUACAUAGUCCUUAUAUUAAUUAAAAUCAUUUUACUUAAUUUUACUAAGUCAGGAAUAUUUUAUAUAUUAAUUAGCUAGUUUAAUCCUAGGUAAAAAAAUCACAUAGCUUGAGUUAGGGACUACUUUUGCAAUUUCUACUACCUGGAAUGCGUUCGGAACGUCUGAAAAUGCUGGAAAUUAUUAUAAACAUGACCCUUUUUUGAGACAACUUGUCGGACACCUAGAUAGGGCCGAAUACUCAGUCUCGAAUCCGG
rnacentral:misc_RNA from 1 species